rnacentral:rRNA from 1 species
UUUAACGGCCGCGGUAUCCUAACCGUGCAAAGGUAGCGCAAUCAAUUGCCCCAUAAAUGGGGGCCCGUAUGAAUGGCUAAACGAGGUCUUAACUGUCUCUUACAGGCGAUCGGUGAAAUUGAUCUCCCUGUGCAAAAGCAGGGAUAAACCCAUAAGACGAGAAGACCCUGUGGAACUUUAAAAUCAGCGACCACCCCACAACACAUCCACACCCACUGGGUUCACGCACUUGCAAACCGCUGGUCCGCAUUUUUCGGUUGGGGCGACCUUGGAGAAAAACAGAUCCUCCAAAAAUUAGACCAUCCAUCUAGACUGAGAGCAACCCCUCAACGUGCUAAUAGCAACCAGACCCAAUAUAAUUGAUCAAUGGACCAAGCUACCCCAGGGAUAACAGCGCAAUCUCCUCCGAGAGUCCAUAUCGACGGGGAGGUUUACGACCUCGAUGUUGGAUCAGGACAUCCUAGUGGUGCAGCCGCUACUAA